rnacentral:rRNA from 1 species
AACGCUAGCUACAGGCUUAACACAUGCAAGUCGAGGGGCAGCAUAGGGUUCCGGCAACGGAAUUCGGAUGGCGACCGGCGCACGGGUGAGUAACACGUAUCCUACCUGCCUUCCACUCGCGGAUAGUCUUUCGAAAGAAAGUUUAAUACGCGAUGGUAUCCUUUAGCCGCCUGGUUUUAGGAUUAAAGAUUUAUCGGUGGAAGAUGGGGAUGCGUUCCAUUAGGUAGUAGGCGGGGUAACGGCCCACCUAGCCAUCGAUGGAUAGGGGUUCUGAGAGGAAGGUCCCCCACAUUGGAACUGAGACACGGUCCAAACUCCUACGGGAGGCAGCAGUGAGGAAUAUUGGUCAAUGGGCGUCAGCCUGAACCAGCCAAGUAGCGUGAAGGAAGACGGUUCUAUGGAUUGUAAACUUCUUUUAUACAGGAAUAAAUUUAGAUACGUGUAUCUAUUUGCAUGUACUGUAUGAAUAAGCAUCGGCUAACUCCGUGCCAGCAGCCGCGGUAAUACGGAGGAUGCGAGCGUUAUCCGGAUUUAUUGGGUUUAAAGGGAGCGUAGACGGGUUUGUAAGUCAGGUGUGAAAUUUUGCGGCUCAACCGUAAGCUUGCAUUUGAAACUGCGGAUCUUGAGUGCGAUUGAGGUGGAUGGAAUUCGUGGUGUAGCGGUGAAAUGCUUAGAUAUCACGAAGAACUCCGAUUG